GCCCCGCCCACUCCGGGAUACGGCCCGGGCCGGGGAAGAGGCGGCGGAGGCGUGCGGGCCCCUGCAGCAGGGGUCCGGGCCCCUGCAGCAGGGGUCCGGCCCCCUAGCACUGUGACCGGUUUGAGCCUGAGCAGGGGGUAAGACCCCCUAGGCAGGAACCUCCGGCUUUGGGCCCAGCAGCAGCAGGGCACACCUCGGUUAGCCCCCAGCCUUGGCUGUAGCCAACACCUACCGCCUCUGGGAAGGCUUCGACACAGAAGGAGGGAGGGGAAGGACAACCAGCAACCUAUAGAUCAGGUUUGUCCAAGUUACAAGAGAGGCCUCCAGUCCCUAAAGCAGCGGCUGCCAACCUUUUUAAGUAGGAGAUCACCGUUGGCAUUUAAAAGCAACCCAGGAUCUACUGUGUGCUGUCACCACCCCCCACCCAGCAGCUGUUGGAAUGGGGGAAGAGAAUGCCACCCACUAAGAAGCCCUGCCACCACAGCCUGACAAGCAACUGCUUGCUUCACUGCUGCCAUCACCAUCAGCUACACCACUGCUGCAGCCAAUGGCUCAUGAGGAGACCUGCAGUCUGGAUCCAGCCCAGGACAAGUUUGACAGCCCUGCAUUAAGGGAUCCAAAUCUAAAACACACUUCCACAGUGAUCAAACGAUUUUGGCCAGUCACAGGCAAUUUUGCAUACAUAGUAAUUUUGAACAGUACCUGCUUGAUAGGGAUCAUGACGGGUAUCCUGCCAGUCGACCUCAUCUUCUGAGCUGUCACUGUCUUCAAAAGGAUGUACCUUUCGAUAGUUCUCAAAUGAUAUAGAGACUUGAGAAACAAAAGUUAGAAAGUUUGUGACUGACAUGAUCACAUCCUCACUGCCUUCAUCAACUCAAGUGCAAUAAACAACACUCCUCAAACGACACUUCACAGACUCUCAAUAUUCUAAAGAACCCUUUCUAAAACUCCAUGAGAAAGUCAAGAAAGCAGCAAUGGUGAGUUUGGGGGCAAAUCUAUUAGGUAUGUGAGAUCUCCCUGAUGAACUGAUCCUCACAAUUUAUAUGCUAGAGAAAAGAGCCAGCACACACAAACCAAGAAAAGGGGACAAAAAGGGAAAGUGUUCACUAUGGUGCUGUAAUCACACACACACACAAACCCCACCUUGACAUUACACAUCAGAAAUAAACAACGACCCAACAAUCAUCAAGUUUUCUAAUUCAAGAUUUAAGUUUAAAAGGUGUUUCACUUACAUAACAACUUCAGGA